AGCCUUCUCAGCCAAGAGGGUCUCGAGUUGAAGGCGUAUCUGAAACAACAAUACAGCAAACGAUAAUAUCGGGUUAUAAUCAUACUUGAUAAAUACUUCGGCCGAAUAGGGUUUGCAAAAGAAACAGAUUCAUCGUGAAUUCACCCCAGGAGGAGUUUUGCUUUGGCAGCUGUUGCCAUUGCCACCUGUGAAUGAAAAUGAAGGCCAGAACACAAUUCUGAGGCAGGAAAAUGCUACAUGUGCCACCUUACAUCGCGAGAUGCCUUGAGCUGAGUUUCUUUGUUGGUUUGCAUCUGUGGUUGUGUGGACUGCGUUGAAGGUUGUGGCCAUGGAUUAUACACUCCAGAGACCUGAUUCUGUUCCUCAAGUUCUCAUGCAUUUGAAGCCUCGUUCUGUUUGGUGAUUGAAGUUGCUGGGAGACUUCAUCAUCCUCAAGAAUUGCUUUAGCUUUUUGAGCAAGAACACCCCAGAACCCCUUGUUUUCAUUUGAAUUUGUAAGUGAUGCAUACUCUUGG